AAGUCGUAACAAGGUUUCCGUAGGUGAACCUGCGGAAGGAUCAUUAAAGUGUUUCGGAGCCUGGUAUGGGCAUCUCGACUCGAGGUGUCGGUGCCAGCGCCCCCACACGUGUUUACUCAACUUGGUUGCCUUGGUGAGCCUGCCCUUGUGGCUGCCGGGGAUGCCUCACGGUGUCUCGGGCUCGUGCUCACCAGUGGAACAUUUGAACUCUUACCUGAAAAUAGUCAGUCUGAGCAUUAUGCAAAUUAAAUAAAACUUUCAACAACGGAUCUCUUGGUUCCG
rnacentral:misc_RNA from 1 species